rnacentral:sRNA from 1 species
AUUGAGAUCAACAAAGAAAUUUGUCUCCACCCUGACCACGGAUGUACUGGCAGGUGUGUUGAGGCAAGUCAGGAAGGUCGGUGCGAAUUUCGCCCGGCCUUUUUCUUU